rnacentral:rRNA from 1 species
AAAGACUUAGUCCUAACCUUACUGUUAACUCUCGCUAAACAUAUACAUGCAAGUAUCUGCGUUCCAGUGUAAAUGCCCUUAACGUCUUCUUUCUCCAGACAAAAGGAGCAGGUAUCAGGCACACUCUUCAUCGUAGCCCAAAACACCUUGCUUAGCCACACCCCCACGGGUACUCAGCAGUAAUUAACAUUAAGCAAUAAGUGUAAACUUGACUUAGUUAUAGCGGCUAGAGGGUUGGUAAAUCUUGUGCCAGCCACCGCGGUCACACAAGAAACCCAAGCUAACAGUGACCGGCGUAAAGUGUGGUAACAUGUUAUCGAAAUAACUAAGACCAAGACACAACUAAGCUGUCAUAAGCCUAAGAUGCACUUAAACCCCCCAUAAAAAUGAUCUUAGUACCUACGACCAAUUUAAAUCCACGAAAGCUAAGACACAAACUGGGAUUAGAUACCCCACUAUGCUUAGCCCUAAAUCCUGGUGCUUGCAUUACCCAAGUACCCGCCCGAGAACUACGAGCACAAACGCUUAAAACUCUAAGGACUUGGCGGUGCCCUAAA